CGCCGGCCCCGGCCCCCGGCUCCCCCGCCCUCCCGAUCCCCCGAGCUGCACCAAACAGCUCUCAGGUUUCUGCUGAUACUGCAGCGUCAAGAAAUGGCUCGAGUUUGCUCCUCGCUCUUAUGCAUUCAGCAGCCCUCUCGCUCCUGCCACACGCGUCCAGCUCCUGCCUCCUCCUGCCUCCGCCGCUGCUGCUGCCGGGACGAGCCAAGACCGACUCCGGGGAUGCGGCUGCAGGGCUGCGGCGCUCUGACAUCUCCCCCGCCGCCGCUGCCCAGCGCCCGGCUCCUUUUCCAGCUGUCCUAAGGGAAGAGAGCUGGAGAGCCGGCAGCUAUCUAGGACUCCUUGAUUUUAUGGACUAACUCGAGCCUUUUUGGAAAAGUGUCUCGCAGGCAGCCCUGUAAAGCGAUCGCUGUGUGAUAAAGAGGGGCGCGAGAGGAGGAGGAGGAGGGUUAAGUUUGCCGCUGCGGUUUUUGUUUUGGUUUGGUUUUUUUGGAUGCUGCUGCAAGGCGACUUGACGCAUUCGGGCACUGGCUCCUUCUCCUGAGCGGCGCGUCUCGCCCGGAGCAGCUUCGUGACAGCAGCUGCGGCGAUGGUCGAGCCGGCGAGAAAAGUGGACGGAUCGAGUUAAAGGCUAAAGGAGACGGCUGGGGAGGGGAGCCCCAGCCUGGGGGUGCACUCCAUAGACCUUCAGCCUCCCGGUUUGGGGGACAGGACCCCUCACCUUACCUGCCCUCUGCCCCCCCUAAAGGUACUUCUUCCCUCUUUCUUCACCCUCCCAUCAUCCCUGAUGCCUCUCCCUUCAUCCCACCUCUCUUUUCCCCUUUUGGGUAUUUCCAUCCUUUAGGCUCCACAUCCACCCCUUCCUCAAGCUCCCCAUCCCACCUCAAUCCCCCCACCCCUGAACCGCCCUGGGUCUCUCUGUGCUCCUCCAUCCUCCUCCUCCUCCUCCUCCUCCCUUUCCCUCACUUCUCCCCUGCCCCUUGGU
rnacentral:lncRNA from 1 species